AACGGCCGUACCAACCUGAAUAUACCGGUUCUCGUUAGAUCACCGAAGUUAAGCAUCAUUGGGCGCGGUCAGUAUUUGGGUGACCACCUGGGAACACUGCGUGCCGUU
rnacentral:rRNA from 1 species